GGGCCCGCACAAGCGGUGGAGCAUGUGGUUUAAUUCGAUGAUACGCGAGGAACCUUACCAGGGUUUAAAUGCAGAACGACAGGGGUGGAAACACCCCCUUCUUCGGACGGACUGCAAGGUGCUGCAUGGUUGUCGUCAGCUCGUGCUGUGAAGUGUCGGGUUAAGUCCCAUAACGAGCGCAACCCCCAUUUCUAGUUGCCAGCGGUUCGGCCGGGGACUCUAGAGAAACUGCCAGCGUAAGCUGUGAGGAAGGUGGGGAUGACGUCAAAUCAUCACGGCCCUUACAUCCUGGGCCACACACGUGCUACAAUGGUGGGGACAACAGGUUGCCAACCCGCGAGGGUGAGCCAA
rnacentral:rRNA from 1 species